GUAGUCUGCCAUACGCAGGAAGACCCGCUGAACUGAAGCAUCUCAUUAAGCGGAGGAAAAGAAACUAACUAGGAUUCCCUUAGUAAAGGCGAUCGAAAAGGGAACAGCCCAACGUCUUAAUCCCGCAAGGGAAAUGUAGUCGGUUCACCUAUUGCACUGGUCUAAGUCAGAUGGAAUGCUGCGCGAUUCAGAGUAAAAGCCUCGUAUGACCAACCGCAAGCUUACGAUGGACCGGGGAGAGUCGGAUACUUUGAGAGUAGUGUCUUAAGGGGGUGGUAUGUCCCAUCCAAGGCUAAAUAACGUGAGGAGACCGAUAGAUUACAAGUAGUGUGAACGAAAGAUGAAAAGAACUCUAAAACAGAGGGUGAAAAGUUCCUGAACUUGCUUAGGGUUAAGGCUAUUUAUAGUACCCGUCUUGAAACACGGAUUAGGGAGUUUAUCUGUAGUGCGAGUCUUUGCACGUUAACUGUAAAGGCGUAGAGAAAGCAACUGGCGUUUGCAUGGCUACUGAGCAUUACUGAUAGGACCCGAAAGGUGGUGAACUUU
rnacentral:ncRNA from 1 species